rnacentral:rRNA from 1 species
GACGAACCGUGCGAACGUUAUUCGGAAUCACUGGGCUUAAAGCGCGUGUAGGCGGGCCGGCACGUCGGUCGCUGAAAUCCCCCGGCUCAACCGGGGAAGGGGCGCCGAUACGACCGGCCUGGAGGGGCGUAGGGGGACCUGGAACUUCCGGUGGAGCGGUGAAAUGCGUUGAGAUCGGAAGGAACGCCCGUGGCGAAAGCGAGGUCCUGGACGCCUGCUGACGCUGAGACGGCGAAAGCCAGGGGAGCGAACGGG